AUGAUGGCAUCUCAGGUAAGCAGCACUGGGCGUUCUUCCAUCCAUCUUUUACAUAGCUAGUAGUUAGUUCCUAUGAUUCAUUGUUGGUUCAUAACAUUCUACUAUAUUACAUACAUACAUACAUACAUACAUACAUACAUACAUACAUACAUACAUACAUACAUACAUACAUACAUACAUACAUACAUACAUACAUACAUACAUACCGUAGAAUGAUAAAUUAUGCAAUUAUUAUUCUCAAGCUAACCAAAAGCAUUUAGCUACGAUUGCCUGUUCUCGCCAUUUUCAGUUGAAUUAAUCAAAUUUUCUUUCAUGGCAACUCAUAUUUGUUUCAUAGUCGAUAUAUAAUCAUAUUUCAUGACAGUGUAACGGUUAGCUUUUUUACAGAAGGAUGAAAGAACACAAUAUGUCUGUCACGAAGAGUUAGGGAGUCUUUGCAGCGUGUAGAUGGUGCAGGUAUCAUUGCAUAUUUCCCAUCACACAAUGAACAACCACAAUAGCAGUCUGGUGUUAAGCUUUCUGUUCUGUAUUGACGUAUCCUGAAAAUGACAUCUGCUGCUUUAGAUUGAACGGUCAUUUCUCAGUUAUUGUUUUCAUAUCUACAAAAAAUAAGAUAUUUUCUUUACUUUCAGAGAGUGAGCUGAUCAAGGGGUCAAAAAUGUAGUUAUUGCCAGAUGUUCACUGUCUGAGGAACAGGCAGUGGAAGCUUUAUUGCUGGCAAAAGUGUCCAUAACCAGAGGUUAUAUCAGCUGCUUUGGUGAACCCCUCCCGCAUCUGAACUGGCUGACACAGAGGGCACAGCAUGUUCAUAAGUGAGAGGUCACUUGGUCGGGUCAACAGAAAGUAUUAUUAAAGAGAUGCUUUACUUUGAAAUACAGACAGAGAUGUAGUAGUCGCAGAGUUAAUGAUCCAAGGUAUGUUUUGAUGUGAGAGAGGAAGCCAGUCCCGUCAUCGCUACCUCACCCGCUCUUAAGGUAACCUUCGGGCCAACUGGGGGCCCAAGGCUGGUUAGGAGACACCGCAAUUGUGAUGAACUGAGAGAAUAUUAGGGUAGCACUGUAAUUCAUUAAUCAUAUGCUGUCUGCCACUGUUCUUACCUCUUUACCUCUGUCUUCUACACCUCUCCCCCCACUUUCUUUCUUCCUCAUCUUAUUUAUAA
ensembl:lncRNA